rnacentral:tRNA from 1 species
UCUAAGAGAUGAUCUUAGCUGAAAGUUUACUUUCACGUAGAUCACUUUUUAGCAGCUCUUAAAUGAGCUUUAGUAGUCUUCGGACUACAUUAUAGACCGAACCGUCCUCAUAUCUCUNNAGUAAUAAUAAUUUUGCAGGUCAUCGAUCUGUUAAGGGUCGGUAGCUCAGGUUGGUUAGAGCGCACGCCUGAUAAGCGUGAGGUCGGAGGUUCAAGUCCUCCUCGACCCACCAAAAAAUGGGGCGUUAGCUCAGCUGGGAGAGCACCUGCUUUGCAAGCAGGGGGUCAUCGGUUCGAUCCCGAUACGCUCCACCAUUUCCUUCAGAUUAUUAUAUCAAUUCCGAUUAGAUCAUUAAGAGCUGUACGCAGUUUUUAAUCAUCCAAUCGGAUGGCGAACCUUCGAGGUUCACUUUUACAUCGUUUAGAGAGCAUAUAAAACACGAGACGUAAGUUUCUUGUUUGAACCACUUCUUCGGAAGAGGUUAAUGAUUGAAUAUCUUAGGGCUGAAGAGCUUUGGGGGGCUAGAUUAUUAGCUGGUUCGCAGUAUCAUAGGUAACUAUGAAGCAUAAUCAGACUAGGGUGACCAACCCACUGUGCAUGUGCUGUUGGUGAGCGUUCCAGUGCGGUUCGCAAGCUAAUUCAAAGAUAAUUUACAGUCUUUCCAAGUCAAAUACACUAACCAAAGUCACAGUGAAUUAGAUCUACUGUGACAUGAAGGGAUGCUCGAAAGAGCAUUCAUUCGCUGGAAUGUGCGUGACCUUCCUGCCAAGGGAGGGUUACAUUUGAGUUCAAAAAUAAAUGUUGUUUUUGCAAUAGCAAAACAAAUGACGUGCCUAUCGCAAGAUAGGUGCUGAUGAACAAUUUUCUCAAAAAAAUGACGACUUCUGUUCUAGAAAUAGUCUGACUAUUUCU